GUAAACUAGACUUUAAAACGAAUCACAAUAAACAAUAUAUAUGUUUGACUUCUAUGAAAAGCCUAUUUUGAUAUGUACAAAUAUAGAUUUAUAUGUCUCUGCUCAUGUGUUUAUAUGAUGUGUUAUUAAGUAUUGGGCGUGAUUAUGCACAUAGGCAUGUGUAUGUGUGAUGGUUCAUUGGCAUGAGCACGAAAAUGCAUUGAGUUUAUGAAUGAGAAAGUGGAUUUUAGCAAACAAAAUUUCUGUUUUAUGAGAUUUUGCAUUGGGGGCCACCUCUUGAAGUUGUGUGGGGGCCACCUCUUGAGGGACAGAACGCCGCAAAGUGCCACGCAUGGUGCAAAGUGCCACGCGCAGCACAAAGUGCUACAAUUGCAGAAUAUGUAUUUCAUUGAAAGAAAAUGAGAAAGUUUGAAAGCGAAAAAAAGAGAUUUUUAUGAAUUUGUUUUACAGUAUUUCCAAAAGAUCAUGGCAUAUCAUCUAUUGCAUUAUGUAUAAGUAUGUAUAUAUUUUCAUAUAAGAAAAACUAGUUUGCUUACUGG
rnacentral:lncRNA from 1 species